rnacentral:rRNA from 1 species
CCUACGGGGUGCAGCAGUGGGAAUAAUGCACAAUGGGCGCAAGCCUGAUGCAGCCAUGCCGCGUGUAUGAAGAAGGCCUUCGGGUUGUAAAGUACUUUCAGCGGGGAGGAAGGCGAUAAGGUUAAUAACCUUGUCGAUUGACGUUACCCGCAGAAGAAGCACCGGCUAACUCCGUGCCAGCAGCCGCGGUAAUACGGAGGGUGCAAGCGUUAAUCGGAAUUACUGGGCGUAAAGCGCACGCAGGCGGUCUGUCAGGUCGGAUGUGAAAUCCCCGGGCUCAACCUGGGAACUGCAUUCGAAACUGGCAGGCUAGAGUCUUGUAGAAGGGGGUAGAAUUCCAGGUGUAGCGGUGAAAUGCGUAGAGAUCUGGAGGAAUACCGGUGGCGAAGGCGGCCCCCUGGACAAAGACUGACGCUCAGGUGCGAAAGCGUGGGGAGCAAACAGGAUUAGAUACCCUCGUAGUC